rnacentral:rRNA from 1 species
CCUACGGGCGGCAGCAGUGGGGAAUAUUGCACAAUGGGGGAAACCCUGAUGCAGCGACGCCGCGUGAGUGAAGAAGUAAUUCGGUAUGUAAAGCUCUAUCAGCAGGGAAGAAAAUGACGGUACCUGAGUAAGAAGCCCCGGCUAACUACGUGCCAGCAGCCGCGGUAAUACGUAGGGGGCAAGCGUUAUCCGGAUUUACUGGGUGUAAAGGGAGCGUAGACGGCAGUGCAAGUCUGGAGUGAAAGGCGGGGGCUCAACCCCCGGACUGCUCUGGAAACUGUACGGCUGGAGUGCAGGAGAGGUAAGCGGAAUUCCUAGUGUAGCGGUGAAAUGCGUAGAUAUUAGGAGGAACACCAGUGGCGAAGGCGGCUUACUGGACUGUAACUGACGUUGAGGCUCGAAAGCGUGGGGAGCAAACAGGAUUAGAUACCCCGGUAGUC